rnacentral:lncRNA from 1 species
GUCACAAUGGAUAAGUGUGACAGUUGGCAUCUUGUGGCACCUGCUUUGCAUCCGUCAUAUUGCGGUGCGGUACCCUGGUAGCAGUGUGUGUCCCAGCUGUCCUCACUUCUUCUUUUAUUCUGAUUCACAUAAGUGAAGAGGAAAUGCUUGUUUCACCACAAAAAACAGCAGCAGUUGACAUGGCUCGUCACUGCUUCUGGCACGGAGUGCCUGUAAUACGAAGGAACAGAAAUACGUGAAGUGUCUAAGAAUCGAUACAUUCAGCGAAGAUACACAGCAGACCCAUGGAGACCUGGCGCUCGGGCCCCUCUCCCACGCAUUCCUUCCUGCACGCUCUUCUCUCAGUGAUGUAAGUGUGGAUUCGCUAAUGUUUAACUGCUGCUUUGAGUCAUCGUCUGUGAUGAGUGACUCCAGAAUUCUUCCCGCUGUCCGCUGAGACAUCAGCCUGCUGAAACCCAUCUUAAGUUGGGUGCUUAUUGCAAAUCUUGACAUCUAAAAUUGCACGUUUGCUGCAGUGCUAACUUGCAGUCCUCAACAUGCAAACGUAUAUUUCAUGUAGCACAGCGUUAUGAACAGAUGACAUUUGCAGUGAUGUUUCUCACACUGUCGGUGUCUGAGUCCGUAGUGUGUGUCCCGGGCUCCAGCGGGGCCAGUUGCUGCGUAGAGGCACCAGGGAGUGCUGGAUCCACCCACAGCUUGGAGCGUGAUGAACGACAUGAAGCUGCUAUGACAUGACAGCCCGAACACGGCCGUCUCUUCUCUUGACGCAGGCUCAUUACAGGACACUCGCGGUGGGAGGCUGGCCGGUCACCGGGGAAACAAUCCCCUCCUGUGCUUGGGCCACACUUGACCGGUCAGCAGAGGUCCAGGAAGGUAGCAGCAGCAGUUCCACAGAGCCAAUGUACAGGAAAUGGCACCGGGGAGGGAACCCUGGGAAUCGAGCUCAAAAAGACACCCGGUGCUGGGUCCUGUAGCGCUGCCGCCGGAGCACAUGCGUGUCCCUGAGCCGUUUCGAAUGGCCAGACACAGCUGGCUUCCUGCUGAGAUGCGGCAGAACCCGGGCAAUGCUGCGGAGCCUCGCUCACUCGCGGCAUCCAGCUGCGUUUUAACAGGCGUCACCUGACACGGCCACUCUCGUCCCGCG